UACAGAGGGGGCAAGCGUUGUUCGGAAUUACUGGGCGUAAAGGGCGCGUAGGCGGCCUGCUAAGUCGGACGUGAAAUCCCCGGGCUCAACCCGGGAACUGCGUCCGAUACUGGCAGGCUUGAAUCCGGGAGAGGGAUGUGGAAUUCCAGGUGUAGCGGUGAAAUGCGUAGAUAUCUGGAGGAAUACCGGUGGCGAAGGCGGCAUCCUGGACCGACAUUGACGCUGAGGCGCGAAAGCUAGGGGAGCAAACGGG
rnacentral:rRNA from 1 species